rnacentral:rRNA from 1 species
UGCGUAGGCGGCCUGGUAAGUCAGAUGUGAAAGCCCGGGGCUUAACCCCGGAAGUGCAUUUGAUACUGUCAGGCUUGAGUAUGGGAGAGGGAAGUGGAAUUCCUGGUGUAGAGGUGAAAUUCGUAGAUAUCAGGAGGAACACCGGUGGCGAAGGCGACUUCCUGGACCAAUACUGACGCUGAGGCGCGAAGGCGUGGGGAGCAAACAGGAUUAGAUACCCUGGUAGUCC